UACAGAGGUCCCAAGCGUUGUUCGGAUUCACUGGGCGUAAAGGGUGCGUAGGCGGUCGGGUAAGUCUGAUGUGAAAUCUCACAGCUUAACUGUGAAACUGCAUUGGAUACUAUCCGGCUCGAGGAAUGGAGGGGAGACUGGAAUACUUGGUGUAGCAGUGAAAUGCGUAGAUAUCGGGAGGAACACCUGUGGCGAAAGCGGCUCACUGGACCACAACUGACGCUGAGGCGCGAAAGCUAGGGGAGCAAACAGG
rnacentral:rRNA from 1 species